GAUUCUGCAGAAAACACGAAACUGAGCUGUACCAAGAUGCUGAUGAGGGGCUGCAGCAUGCAAUUCACUUCACCAGCAGUCAAUAAGGUCUGAUCUCUUUUCUAACCAUACCUGGAAGAUGGAAUGCUGGACCCAGGAGGAAAGGCCAUGUGAAGAUAGAGAAAAGGCUGCCAUCUCCAGGUCAGGAAGAGAGGCCUCACCAGAAACCAACUUGGACUUCUAGCAUCUAGAACUUGAGAAACUGGGAUGCUACUCCAGAAGAAGAAAAAUCAGUGCCUCUGUACAAAGGGAUCUUUGUGCUGCCAAAAGAGUAGAAAAGUUUAUCCCAGAACCAAAAUAUUUCAGAAUUGUGGAAAAUCAAGUUUUGGAAAUCUACUCAAAAGAAGAAGAAAUAUUGCUAUCACAGAAUCCCUGAAUUAGUAUACACCUAGCUGCUGUAACAAAGACGCUCAAAAACAUAAAUGACACUGUAAAAGAAGUUUAUUUCUUGUUCACAUAACUGUCCAAGGCUGGUGUUCCUGGGCAACUUCCAGUUCUCUUCCAUGCAAUGAUUCAAGGACACAGAGUUCUUCCAUCCUGUGACUCUACCAUCCCCUAGAGCCUGGAAAUUGAGAGUAAAGAGGGUGACGACUUCAUAUUAUGAAGGGGAAACACUAAUUUGGAAGGAUCAUGAGUUGUUUCCACAACAGUAUCCUGCUCUGGCCCUAAAUAACCAUGUAUACACUUCUUCCCAAACAUAGAACAUAAUGGGACCUUUCCCAGGGGAGCCAACCCACAGUCAAGGAAUCAUUGCACUCAGCUCAUGGUCAGGGAUUUCUGAGUAAAGCACUGUCCUGCCUAAAGAUGUUUAUUGUAAGGAUUAAAUCAGCUAAACCAAGAAAAGCCUCAGGGAUGGUGCCUGGCAAACUGCACGCUGUUAAUACAUGUUAGUGGACCGUUCUCCACACCUUCCUGCUACACUAAAGCAGAGAGAAUUACCUCCUGAAUCAUGUUUGCAGAACUUCUGGGCACAGUGACUCAACUCCCAGCUAUUCUUGUCAUGGAUUUUUUCUCUUGGAGCCAAUCCAGCCAUGGAGAUCACUGGUCUUGUGACUUAUUUUUUCUCUUUCAGUAUGAAAUCAUUAGAACUGAGAAAAUGAAAACAUUCCUGUUAUUACUUCCUGAGAGAAAGAAACUUAGUAACAUGCUUUGGUAGGAAUUGUUCUUCUUUCUCCUGCUGUGUCCCUCUUGCUGGUCCCACCAGGGCUCUUGGUCCUGAGCCUGAUUUACACCAGGAGCAUAAUCUGAUCAAAAAGAGGGAAACUAAAGAAAAAAGGCAGGAUUGUAUGAGGGGUUCUCACAAUGGCAGUACAUAAUCCCUUAUACCUCGUAUUAAGUAGCCCCCUGUGUUUCCAAGUUACCUUUGUAAUUUAGGUAAGUGAGCACGAAACACUUAAAAAAACACAAAUGAAAACAAGAGAAAGGAAAGAGUGGGGAGGGGUUUGUUUAUUUUUGAAAACAACAACGACAACAACAUAGAGUAAAAGUUACCAGGUAAGUUCAAAUAUAGUAGUACUUUGUUUUCUUGGAAGAUGAAUGAAAGAAGUCACCUUACUGCCUCCAAUCCAGUCAUAUCCCUGAACCCAAUCAUGACCAGCAGAGGUUGUUCUAAAUUGUUUCCUCCAAUAUAGAGAUAAUUGCCAAUAAUUUUUCAGUGGUUGUUCUCUGUAUUCUCUGUAUUUUUUAGGGAAGCUGAACUCAGAAAACAUACUUUGUCCAUCUAGCCAUCCAUUUAUCUUUAUGGAUCCAUCUUUAUUCAUUCAUUAAUUCACUCAGUCAAUAUAUAUUGAAUUUCAA